ACGCUUCCCCCAUGUUCCGCCGACAUCCGUCAGCAACAUGCCCAGGUAGCCCCGAUCCUCAAGGCUACGACGCGGUUUUGGCCGCGUGGAUCACCACCAGUUCGUACCGGCAUCCACGCGCGAACGCCCAUCGGUUUCCGAUGGUGAUGC
rfam:Candidatus Accumulibacter sp. 66-26 scnpilot_expt_750_p_scaffold_332, whole genome shotgun sequence.